UGAAUACGAGAUGCUACGGCGUCGAAGCAGUGUAUGUCAGACUUCCAAGAAAAGCUCGCAAUGUCAUAAAUAAAGAAUGCCUGUACCAUAACCGACACAGGUGGGUAGGUAGAGUAUACUAAGGGGCGCGAGAUAACUCUCUCUACGGAACUCGGCAAAAUAACUCCGUAACUUCGGGAGAAGGAGUGCCUUCUUUAAGAAGGUUGCAAUAACAAGAUCCAAGCAACUGUUUAUCAAAAACACAGGUCUCCGCUAAGUCGUAAGACGAUGUAUGGGGGCUGACGCCUGCCCAGUGCCUGAAGGUUAAAGAAGUUGGUUAGCUUUUGCGAAGCUGAUGACUGAAGCCCUGGUGAACGGCGGCCGUAACAAUAACGGUCCUAAGGUAGCGAAAUUCCUUGUCGGGUAAGUUCCGACCCGCACGAAAGGCGUAAUGAUUUGGAUACUGUCUCGGAGAGGGACUCGGUGAAAUAGACUUGUCUGUGAAGAUGCGGACUACCUGCACCAGGACAGAAAGACCCUAUGAAGCUUUACUGUAACUUGAAAUUGAAAUUGGACUUUAUUUGCGCAGUAUAGGUGGAAGGCGUUGAAAGUAAUCUUGCGGGAUUAGUGGAGCCAUCAGUGAGAUACCACUCCUAUAAUGUUAGAUUUCUAACUUUGGAUCAUGAUCUGGUCAAAGAACAGUUUCAGGCGGGCAGUUUGACUGGGGCGGUCGCCUCCCAAAUGGUAACGGAGGCGUACAAAGGUUUCCUCUGAACGGGUAGAAAUCGUAUCUAGAGUGUAAAGGCAUAAGGAAGCUUGACUGUGAGACCUACAAGUCGAGCAGGGACGAAAGUCGGUCUUAGUGAUCUGACGGUGCUGAGUGGAAAGGCCGUCACUCAACGGAUAAAAGUUACUCUAAGGAUAACAGGCUGAUCUCCCCCAAGAGUUCACAUCGACGGGGAGGUUUGGCACCUCGAUGUCGGCUCAUCGCAUCCUGGGGCGGUAGUACGUCCCAAGGGUUGGGCUGUUCGCCCAUGAAAGCGGUACGCGAGCUGGGUUCAGAACGUCGUGAGACAGUUCGGUCCAUAUCCGGUGUAGGCGUUAGAAUAUUGAGAGGAGCCUUCUUUAGUACGAGAGGACCGAGAAGGACAUACCUCUGGUGUACCAGUUAUCGUGCCAACGGUAAACGCUGGGUAGCUAUGUAUGGAGAGGAUAACCGCUGAAAGCAUCUAAGUGGGAAGCCCACCUCAAGAUGAG
rnacentral:rRNA from 1 species